CAGUCGCCACGGGAACACGAAGGGGGCUAGCGUUGCUCGGAAUGACUGGGCGUAAAGGGCGCGUAGGCGGAUUGUUUAAUUAGGCGUGAAAUUCCUGGGCUUAACCUGGGGACUGCGCUUAAUACAGGCAGUCUAGAGUGAGGAAGAGGGUUGUGGAAUUCCCAGUGUAGAGGUGAAAUUCGUAGAUAUUGGGAAGAACACCGGCGGCGAAGGCGGCAACCUGGUCCUUGACUGACGCUGAGGCGCGAAAGCGUGGGGAGCAAACAGGAUUAGAUACCCCGGUAGUCCCUGUCUCUUAUAC
rnacentral:rRNA from 1 species